rnacentral:sRNA from 1 species
CCCUAGCCCCGAUUGAAACGGAAAUCCUUUUUGAAACUUUGUAAAAGUUUAAAAAAGAUUGCAGUGAAAAGCGGGAAUCAGC